UCCCUGGUGGUCCAGUGGUUAGGACUCGGCGCUUUUACCGUCGAGGGCGUGGGUUCAAUCCCUGACUGGGGAA